UUUAGGGUUUCUCCUUGCUUAUAAAUACGCAAAGCAAGGGCUUAACUCACAGGGUCUCAGUAUGUUGCCUCUUCAAUCUGUUAAGGUUUCAGUCAAACAGGUUCCUUUCGAUUAGGUUUCUUCGUUCUCUCCAAUUUUAGGAUUUAUGUUUCUGUAUGCUAUUUUCUUUCCUUCUUUUAAAAUCAUGUGAUGAGGAAAAAAACUGCAACAAUAUGAUUGGAUUCGUUCCAUGAUUCCUUGUAUUUAAGUCUCUGAUGAUUGAUUUUCGACUGCCACCAUUGUUUGAAAUAGGUUCUUUUGUAUUUUUGUUUUCUAAUUUUGAAUUUGCAUCUCCCAUUCUUUUCAUCUUUAUUCGACAAGAUCAGUAAGGAGAUGUGAUGAUUUUUACAUUGGUCCGUGUUUCUGAAUUACCGUGACCGACAAAUCUUACCAAUUUCUGAUCUCCAAUUACAGGUAGAACUAUUUUGUAGUUGUUUCGUUUCGUCAAUUGUUUUCAUGCGUAUAUUGUGAUUUGUUUUGGCUCAGUGAUUUUUUUGCUUUGCAGUAUACGCUAUUCCGAUUUAUUACGUGAGCGGAAAUUUAAUCGUGUAUGAGAGCCAUUAAUUUGUUAAUUUUCCAAUUGUUUUUAUUGUUAUUCACGUAAUACCUUUUUUUGAUUAACGUUUUUUAAUUGUGUUUGAUUUACAUCUUAUUCUGCUAUGAUGAUUUAAGAAUAAAAUUCACAUGUCAGACUUCAGAGAUUUUAAAAAUCAAUGAGAAUGACAAUUCUUUUUCUGAGCGGAUCUUCCGACAUUGUUUGUAUUAUGCUAUUUGAUAUUAUUGUAAUGAUUUAGUUAUUCUGUUUGAUAUAAUAUCAUUGACGGGAGAUUUCUGAUCUGGAGUCUCGCACUUUUUUGAGGGCAAACAAAUUGUGUUUGCAUGUUCUCAAGUGACCGUCGUAAAACAAUUCUCUGGCGUGACGGAGCUGCCCUUAGGGGUGGCAUCUCCGCUAGAGUGGUCUCAUAUUCCAUUGCCUUGUGGAGCGGCGUCGCUGCCUUUACCAUUUGGGACUGGCCAUGAGACAAACAUUCUUUCAACUGAGUGACAGGAUUGAUCGUGUCGUACAGGAUUGCGUGAACAGGUCUUUUGUGUUGGAAGAUUGUUGAUGGAAGUAUAUAAUCGUUUGAUAGGUUUUCGUAAUUUUUUAUUUUAUGAAAAUUUUAGUAUUAAAAUUGUAGCCAUUAUUUGUAUAAUAACUAAUUAUUUAUUUAAAAUGUUCUUAGAUAAAUAUAUUUUUUAUUUAUUU